rnacentral:rRNA from 1 species
GACGAACGCUGGCGGCGUGCUUAACACAUGCAAGUCGAACGAAGUGGCGAACGCGUGAGUAUUACGUGGGUAAACUGCCCUCCUUUUUGGGAUAAGCCUUGGAAACGGGGUCUAAUACCCAAUAUAGGGGGAUGUGCUCGCGGCCUAUCAGCUUGUUGGUGGGGUGAUGGCCGACCAAGGCGGUGACGGGUAGCCGGCCUGAGAGGGAGACCGGCAACAUGAGAACGGAGAGACGGCCCAGGGUCGUACGGGAGGGGGCAGUGGGGGAUAUUGCGAAAGGGGGGAGAGCCAGAUGCGGCGACGCCGCGUGGGGGAUGAAGGCUUUCGGGUUGUAAACCUCUGUCGCAAUCGAACGGGUAGGUGGAGAAAAAGCGCCGGCUAACUACGUGCCAGCAGCCGCGGUAAUUC